AUUGAACGCUGGCGGAAUGCUUUACACAUGCAAGUCGAACGGCAGCACGGACUUCGGUCUGGUGGCGAGUGGCGAACGGGUGAGUAAUGUAUCGGAACGUGCCCAGUCGUGGGGGAUAACGUAGUGAAAAUUACGCUAAUACCGCAUACGAUCUAUGGAUGAAAGCGGGGGAUCGCAAGACCUCGCGCGAUUGGAGCGGCCGAUAUCAGAUUAGGUAGUUGGUGGGGUAAAGGCCCACCAAGCCAACGAUCUGUAGCUGGUCUGAGAGGACGACCAGCCACACUGGAGAGGAGACACGGUCCAGCCUCCCACGGGAGGCAGCAGUGGGGAAUUUUGGACAAUGGGCGAAAGCCUGAUCCAGCCAUUCCGCGUGCAGGAUGAAGGCCCUCGGGUUGUAAACUGCUUUUGUACAGAACGAAAAGGUUUCUACUAAUACUAGGAGCUCAUGACGGUACUGUAGGAAUAAGCACCGGCUAACUACGUGCCAGCCGCCGCAGUAA
rnacentral:rRNA from 1 species